GCCGCCGCGGAGCGCGGGCGCCCUCGUGAGGCUGGGCUGCGUCGCCAGCGGCAGCGUGAAGCGGGCAGCCCGGUCUGCGCCGGGGCCUGGGCCUGGAGUCCAGUGUGGUCGGGCGUUCGACUCGCGCGGCUCCCCGCCCGAGGGCCCACCGGGCUCCGGCUGGAAGCCGCCCAGGGUGCGGCAGCGAAACUUCGGCCCGGUUGCAACCACAGUGGCGUUUAGGCCGGACGCUCUUGCUCCCGUUUCACGGAGCGGUCGAAAUCCGUAGACGUUUCUAAUGCGUUCUACCGGUAGCCCAGCCCUCUUCGUCCUCAGCCUCUAUUCGUGCUCACUUUUCUCCCAGGCAGGUAGCUCCAGGGGCCUCCUGUCUCUCUCCUCCCCACCCUAUCCCGUUUUCCCUUGAGCAUCCCCUGCUGCUUGCCAGGUGUGCCUUUAGUGAGAACCCGAUCUUUCCAGCACUUUUUUUCCUGCUGGUGAAGACAAACCCACAUGCUUUUAGUUUUCAGGGUUUUGUUAUCGAUCAGUUUCAUCCAUAGGUAGGGCUUACAUAGCACGCGCUACGUGCCAGCCAAGAUGUUUAGUGGGUUUAUGUGCAUUAAUUCACCCAGUCUUUGGAACAGCUCUAAACUUAAUCUUAUUAUACUAUCACUAAUUUGCAAAUGAGAAAACUGAGAUCUGAGGCAAAUUAAGUAAAUUGACUAAAGUUAUACAGACAACACACUGCCUGAUCAUGAACUGAAUUAUCUUUAAAAUUAUUAUUGGUACAUAAUCAAAGCAAAGUAUCACAAAGUUUCAUAAUUAUUCAAUAGAACGUAACACUUCUGGGGAAAUGCAUCUCGCUGAAAUGGAUAUUGUUGCUUUUUAAAAUUCAUAAAUCUGUGAAUGAUUAUAUCUUAUUGCUGGGACGGGAAGGAUUGAGCAUCAAUACCACUCUUAAGUUUUAGUUUUUAUAACUGUAUGGCCUUAGAAACGGUGUUCAUAUAAACAAGUACUAUACCUGGUAAUCCUAAUCCUACUGUAGCAACGUUGUAACUGAGCAGGGUCCUGUGAGGCUCCUGGGCACACAAGCCUUUCUGUGUCCUUCAUUUCCUGUUUUUAAGGAAUAAGCUUCAGUCUCCAUGACCUUCCCUGAGCUCCAAAGGGCGGUUGAUAAUCAGGGCAGGAAAGGGAUGCAGCGAUCAGGGAGCAGCAGUCGAGAGACAAUAAUGCAGCCUUGGGGCAGGGCCCUGGUUCCUCCUCAAGGAAUAUACAUAACAAUGUCUUGGAGCCUUUUUGCAGAACUAAAAUCCCCAACAAAGGGAAGAACUACUUGAUGAAGGAGGACCUCCAGAACCAGUCCUGGGCUGCUAAUUAUUUCUCAGCUUUGAUCCUUAUCUGCAGCCUUAUUUUCCACUCCCCAAAGUAUAAAACCACCCCCUAAUCUCUCCCAAGGAGGGCACAGUCUUUAAGGCAUUGGUCUGCUGUGCCCUCCUUUACCUGGCAAAGCAAUAAAGCUCUCUUUUUCUCCUUCACCUAAAACUCUGUCUCCACACAGUGCUCUUGGCUGGAUCAGACACUUUGAGGUUUCUCUCCACACCAGUCCCCCUUCAGGUGAGCAGAGGAUUGGAGGACUCUUUUAGAGGCCAGACUGCUGAGAGUUUCCUGCCAUGGGGCCGGCCCCGAGCAGAGCCGACUGGCCGUCUUGGAAGUUGGAACUCCAGGGUGGAAGAGUGGUUGGAAGGCAGCUCUCACUGGCCUUGGGGGGACUCCUUCCUUUCCCUCUGCUCCUGCCGACCAGAACUUCCCACUUCAAGAAGACUUUUUGGGAAGAGGAAAAGUAGCAUCUGUGAUUUCGAGACACCUCUGCCAGCAUCUGGAUGGGAUUCAGAAUUGGGAAGGCAAAGUAAUCAUACCGAUAAAAAGAGGGAGGAUUUUGGACCUCCAUGAAGAUACUGAAGUGGGGGGGAGGCAGGGAGAGAGGGUGUUUAUCUGCUUGCCUGGCUGGCACCGUUGCUGUCAUCGUUUCCUUACAUCUUCACCACGACAAGACUGUGUCAUUCGAGCCAUCUUGAGAAGGAGAAGAUGAAAGCUGGGAGGCCAUGAACAUCUCGCCCAGAUUUAUGUUGCUGCAAAAAGAAUUGAAAUUGGGAGGCAGAUUGCAUCCAAAGCUGGAAUAUUUCCAUGUGCUCUUCCCUGCACCAUCCUAAAGACGUGGAAGGCAGGGCCUCCCCUCCCUUCCGUGCACCUUCUUGCCCCCGCCCCUGUGGUCUCUGUAUCUGCACUAAGAUGAAUGUGCUCUGGCCUCUCCCACCUCACACUGAGCAAGGAGAAAAGGCAACAGCCUCAAAUCUGCCCAAUAUUCCACGGAAGCUGGUCUUUCUUCUACAUGGACAGUGAUUCCCUUUGAAAAGGCAGCAACAUUGAACUGCCCCAGCUUCCUGGCUAUGCCCACCGAUGAAGGUGACAAUCACGAUGCAGAAAUGGACAGUGGGGAGCGUUGGAUGGAAUAAUUACAAUAGUGAACAAAGAACAGCGGUGAAGACAUUUUACCCAAACAUCUUACUUGCUGUUGGAAGUCUGGCUUGACCCAAUGUGAGGCCCUCUUCUCCAUUCCAGAUCCAGGACACCAUUCCCUGAAGGAGCCAUCAGGGGCCUGUGGGAUAGAGGCCAUUGCUGGGGAUGCCCUGAUAGAGGUCCUUCAACAAAUAACAAGUAAGAGGCUGCAGUUUCUGCAACGAGAGAUGAUGGGGCUGAAACGUCAGCAGGACAGACCAGGAUGGAAGAUCAAUCACGGAGCGGUUCCCCAUGCUGUGAGCUCCCCCAGGCAAAGGCUGUACCUUUUGUUUUCCUCAGCACCUCUCUUAAAACCCAGAACAAUGUCCAGAGGAGAACAGGCAUUCAGACCCUAUUUCCAUCUCUAUUCUGGGACCAUGUGGAAUCAGAGAUAAAUUAGACCACAUCUUUGUCCUAGGAGUUCACAGUCAAGCUGAGGCGGACAGACUGACAAAUUGAUAAAUGCUUCAACAUUGUCUUCUCUUAUUCAGGCCAAACGUCAUUAGCUGAUCCUCAGAUUCCCUCCCGGAACAGGAAAGCACAGAUCGGAUAGCACGGUGCCAGGCGGGGACCGACCUAUGCUGAACAAGCUCGAAGGUCAUUUCUCUCAUGUAUGUUUAUAAGGAAAACACUGAUCCUCUGAGUAUGUUUCCCUUGUUCACACAGAGGCUCCAAGAAGGUCAAAUAAGUCUCAGAUGAUGCUUAACGAGUAGAAAGCCCGAACGAAGUGGCUGGAUGUCCAUUAGGAAUAGCACUGUUUCCCUUUUCUGCUCUGGGAAGGAAUCCAACAGGUACUUCCCCUGGGUCAAGCCCUAAUGGCAAAUUUUUCAGCAAAAGAGGAGGUUUUUUUCAAAUUUCUUGUCCAGAUUGCUGAGCUCUUAUCAUAUCGACAGGUUCCCAAAUGGACAGAAAGACUUAGAAAUUCCAGAGUAAUUAUCUUGCUUGAGUGUAGCUAAUAUUGAAAAUGGAAACUUUUCUCAUGGAUUUUUAAAAAUAAUAUCUUAUCAUUCACCCUUCAUUAGGUGUGAAUAACUACUGGCAGGAUGUAUUUUAGCAGAAUGAAUGUUAUCUAGUAAGGUAUCCAGAAAAAGCUGAUGUCACAUGCACACUUGCCUUAACCUCCCACUCUUUCCCCCAGUAUCACCUAUCACAGGCAUUGAGGCUCCAACCAAACUGCUGAUGCUCUUCCCUUAGCUUAGAGUACUUUUCCCAGUGCUGCUUGUUCAAAUCUACUUUUCCAUCAAGAGUAACCUCAAAUUCCACUAUUUCUAAGGAGACUUCUCUCUUUCUCCAGUGAAGAAGGGAUAAUUUCUUCUUUCUUCACAUGUCCUUAAUUAUUCUUCCUAAGCCUCUCUUAAAACACUUAGAUGUCUCAGCUGUCCUAAAAAUCUGAGUUUCUUGAGGCCAGGACUUGCAUCUUAAUGUCUUGGUAUCUUUCAUCCUUGGAAGGCAAUAUAGCAUACGGUCACGGGAUCAGGAUCCUGGGUACAAACUGGGUGCUACUACUAACCAGCUGUGUGAUUGUAGGCAAUUCCUGGCAUAUUGUAAUCACUCAACAAAUGUCCCCAUUUACUAUUUAUAUUCUUCAUAACACACAGGACAAUACAUAGUAUCCAUUCUCAGCUCAGUCAAUGUUUACUGAAUGAAUAAAUGAGAAAGCAAAUGAAAAGUAGUUUGUUGUUGAGUGUUUGUUAAGGGAAUGAAUAAUUUAAUAGAUUUGGAAGAAAAUUUGUCAAACAUACUGCUUUUCACUGAACCAAAACAUAUUUCUACAAAUGUUAUGCUUAACCUUCUCCUGGGUCUCUCCUCAAUUCAUUAUUCCUUGAAGCACCCUUCCCUUAGAACCAUCUACCCAUAAACUUAUAUAAUAUUUUAUUUUUGUUUCUUUUAAGAGUGACUACUUUAUGCUAAAGAGCUGCAUUAAGCUUUUGCAGAUUGAAAGAAGAGGAUUUCUUUACUUGUCUGUGGAUCAGGCUGGUUUUCUAUGAGCAGGCAGAGGGAUCUUUGCUACAUUUAUAAUCAUAUAUUUUCUGAGUAGACAAGAUCCAGACGAAAUUCAGGAAGGUUCCUAGGUAUCAUGGCUCUUUUAACUAUAUGAUUCAGCAAUCCCACUCCUGCACAUCUAUUUGAAGAAAACCAUAAUUUGAAAAGAUACAUACACCCUAAUGUUCAUUGCAGCACUAUUUACAAUAGCCAAGAUAUGGGAGCAACCUAAAUGUCCAUUGACAGAGGAAUGGAUAAAGAAGGUGUGGUACACAUAUACAAUGGAAUAUCAGCCAUGAAAAAGAAUGAAACAAUGCCAUUUGCAGCAACAUGGAAGGGCAUAGAGAUUUUCAUACUAAAUGAAGUCAGUCAGACCGUGAAAGACAAACAUCAUAUGAUAUCACUUAUAUGUAGAAUCUAAGAGAAAUAUACAAAUGAACUUAUUUGCAGAACAGAAACAGGUCACAGACUUUGAAAACAAACUUAUGGUUACCAAAGGAGAUGGGUAGCGGGGAGGGAUGGACUGGGGUUUGGGACUGGUGUAUGCCCACUGUUGUAUGUGGAAUGACUGGCCAAUGGGGACCUGCUGAAUAGCACAGAGAACUCUACCCAAUAUUCUGUGAUAAUCUAUAUGAGAAAAGAAUCUGAAAGAGAAUGGAUGUGUGUAUAUUUAUAACUCAAUCACUUUGUUGUACAGCAGAGAUUAUCACAACAUUGUAAAUCAAAUAUACUUCAAU
rnacentral:lncRNA from 1 species